CAAUAGCUCCCUUUGCUGUUCAUGCCUACACCCUUGUAAUUCCCCAUUUACCUGGGAUGUGCUUUGCCCAGCCAAUGAUCACCACCAGUUCCCUGUCUGCCAGGUCACAGAGGGUUGUCAGGGCUUUGAUGUCACUCUCCGGCAUGGUUGGAUCAGGCAUGGCAUAAAUCUUCUCUGGCUCAGCCACCAGCAAGUGGGAGACGAUCUUAGUCACUGCACAUUUCAAAGGAGAAGUUGUUGUAGUUUAUGUCACUUUUGUGACAUAAAGUGAAUCCUUCUGGGAUAAGAUGUGACUACAGAGCCCCUAGGACCUCAGUAACAGUUUUGGUCUCAACAGAAAACCAGACUGCAGCUACACAAGUUGUAGUGAUAUGCCUAGGACAAACCAGCUCUGCACACGGAUGACAAAGGCAGGAAGCUGCUGUAAUGUUGUCAGUCAUUGUCUCAGGGAAAAGAUAAAGCUUUUACUGUGAUGCUCACACCAGCCACACCUGCACCACCUGAAACCGCUACUGGCAACAACAUCUAGAUCCCGAUACUCUUCAUGGCUAGAGCACCAUAACAAUUUGACUACCAAUUGCCCCCUAAGCAACAAGAAUACCAGGCCAACAACACUCAGUCUGGCAGCAGGAUCUCACACUGAGCAGGAGAAGCAGGGAUGAGCAGGAGUGGAGCUCUGCACAGCAAGGGAGCUGCUGCUGUGGGUGGCUGCUAUGGGAGGACAGCAGGUGUUGGAGAAGAUGGAGAGGAAGUGGCAGGUAGCCUGUGGGCAAGACUCCUUCCUGGGAGCCCAAACACACUUCAGAGAGCAAUUUCAAAAAGGACAGCCAGGGAAUCCCAAACCUGAGGUUAUCUAGGGAGAUCCCUAAGGAACAGCA